rnacentral:rRNA from 1 species
GACGAACGCUGGCGGCGUGCUUAACACAUGCAAGUCGAACGAUGAAGAAAAGCUUCGACGCUUCGUCAGAAAUUCAUUUCGGAUUAGUGGCUGACGGGUUAGUAACUCGUGAGCAACCUCCCUCUUACAAAGGGAUAGCCUCCGGAAACCGGGAUUAAUACCAUAUAACAUUGUUACGAAGCAUUUCGUUUCAAUCAAAGCUACGGCGGUAUGACAUGGUCUCGCGUCCCAUUCACCGGAUGGUGAGGUAACGGCUCACCAUAGUGACGAUGGGUAACCGGGAAGAGAGGGAGAACGGUCACACUGAAACUGAGACACAGUCCAGAAUACUACGGGAGGCAGCAGUGGGGAAUAUUGCACAAUGGAGGGAACUCAGAAGGAGCGACGACGCGUGAGUGAUGAAGGAAUGCGUGAAGUAAAACACUGUUCUAUGGGAAGAAAAGGACGGUACCAAAGGAGAAAGCUCCGGCUAAAUACGUG